AUGGCAUUGGUUCUUCGAUUCCCGAGCACCGAGGGGUUCAUACAGGAGCGUUUUCUUGAUGUAAUUCAUGUCACUGACACUACUGCUUUGACUCUCAAGAAGGCAAUUUGCAAAGUCCUUUCUGAUAAUAAUUUGAAUGUCCAAGACAUUAGAGGACAAGGCUAUGACGGGGCAAGUAAUAUGAGAGGUGAAUGGAAUGGAUUGAAGGCUCUAAUUCUGAAUGACUGCCCUUAUGCAUAUUAUGUGCAUUGCAUGGCUCAUUAGUUACAGUUAGCUCUUGUUGCCGCGUCAAGGGAGGUACAUGAUGUGCAUAACUUUUUCCAAAAUGCAAAUUUCAUUAUAAAUGUUGUUAGCGCAUCGACUAAACGUAAUGAUGAGUUGUUAGCAAAUAAAGAAGGGCAAAAUCAGAUAGGAACUUUACAAAGACCUGGUGACACUAGAUGGAGUUCCCACUUCAAGUCAAUUCAGAGUUUACAGAAGAUGUUUGGCGCUACAGUUGAGGUCCUAAGGAGUAUAGCAAAUGACCGUGCAGCCUCGAAAUAUUCUAGAGGAGAUGCCGUAGGAGCCCUAAAAAUAAUUAUGUCAUUUGAUUUUGUGUUCAUUUUACAUCUAAUGGAGUAA
rnacentral:rRNA from 1 species